UCCAUUGGCGUAGUGGUUAGAGUGUCCGCCUCGGAUGCAUUUGGUCGCGGGUUCGAAUCCCGGCCAGAUCAU